rnacentral:rRNA from 1 species
CCCUGUUGUGAUUGCAGAUUCAGUGAUCAUCGAAUCUUUGAACGCACCUUGCGCUCUCUGGUAUUCCGGGGAGCAUGCCUGUUUGAGAAUCGCAAAGCAACACAAAUCACAUUCAUGUUUGUAAAUGUGGAGUUGAGCCCUUUUCCUUCUCUCUCUGUUGCAGAGAGAGAGGGAUGGCUUGAAAUACAGAAGGCCGGUCUGGGUAAAACCAGAUAUCAGGACAGAUAUAUUUAUGAGCAAUAAUAGUUAAUGCGUUUUGCGCGUUAUCCUUUUGCUCUGUGUCUGCCUUGGUGUGACGGCCUGACACUUUCUUUCUUUCUUGAAAAAGGGAGGAGAGGGAGGAAACACUGUAUCUUGACGAAGAAGUAUUUACACUUCUUCCGACUUCUUAGAUCUCAAAUCAGGCAAGAGUACCCGCUGAACUUAAGCAUAUCAAUAAGCGGAGGAAAAGAAACUAACAAGGAUUCCCCUAGUAACGGCGAGCGAAGCGGGAAUAGCUCAAAUUUAAAAGCUGGCGGGGUUCCCCGUCCGCAUUGUAGUCUAAAGAAGUGUUUUCGGCGGCUGUCCAGGUAUAAAUCCUUUGGAACAGGGUAUCAUAGAGGGUGAGAAUCCCGUCUUUGACCUGGUACGUGCUGCUAUGUGAUACACUUUCUAAGAGUCGGGUUGUUUGGGAAUGCAGCCCAAAAUGGGUGGUAAAUUUCAUCUAAGGCUAAAUAUUGGCGAGAGACCGAUAGCGAACAAGUACCGUGAGGGAAAGAUGAAAAGAACUUUGAAAAGAGAGUUAAACAGUACGUGAAAUUGUUGAAAGGGAAACGCUUGAAUCCAGUCAUGUCGGCGGGAAAUCAGCCAGGCCUUCGGGCAUGGUGCACUUUUCCGCCGGCAGGCCAGCAGCAGUUUUGGCUGCCGGAAAAAGAUCAGGGGAAAGUGGCUCCUUUCGGAGUGUUAUAGACCCUGGUAAAUACGGCGGCCGGGACUGAGGAACGCAGCCAACCCUCUGGGCUGGGUGCUCGCCUGCUGCACUCCCAGGCACUUUCGGACAGCUUGCUUUCCGGCGGUGUCUUUGGGGGGCACUCGGGUGAAGCAUCUCACGAUGGCUAAGGUUGCUGGCGUAAUGGUUUUAAACGACCCGUCUUGAAACACGGACCAAGGAGUCUAACAUAUAUGCGAGUGUUUGGGUGGCAAACCCAUGCGCGUAAUGAAAGUGAAUGUAGGUGCGACCCCCGCAAGGGGUGCAGCAUCGACCGAUCCUGAUUGUUGAUGGAUUUGAGUAAGAGCAUAUCUGUUGGGACCCGAAAGAUGGUGAACUAUGCCUGAGCAGGGUGAAGCCAGAGGAAACUCUGGUGGAGGCUCGUAGUGGUUCUGACGUGCAAAUCGAUCACUGGACUUGGGUAUAGGGGCGAAAGACUAAUCGAACCAUCUAGUAGCUGGUUCCUGCCGAAGUUUCCCUCAGGAUAGCAGAAGCUUAUAUCAGUUUUAUGAGGUAAAGCGAAUGAUUAGAGGCCUUAGGGUUGAAACAACCUUAACCUAUUCUCAAACUUUAAAUAUGUAAGAAGCCCAAGUUACUUAGUUGAACCUGGGCAUCGAAUGAGAGCUUCUAGUGGGCCAUUUUUGGUAAGCAGAACUGGCGAUGCGGGAUGAACCGAACGUGAGGUUAAGGCGCCGGAAUGCACGCUCAUUUAGACACCACAAAAGGUGUUAGUUCAUCUAGACAGCAGGACGGUGGCCAUGGAAGUCGGAAUCCGCUAAGGAGUGUGUAACAACUACCUGCCGAAUGAACUAGCCCUGAAAAUGGAUGGCGCUCAAGCGUGCUGCCCAUACCUCACCGUCAGGGUAAAUGCGAAGCCCUGACGAGUAGGCAGGCGUGGGGGUCUGUGACGAAGCCUGGGCGGAGCCCGGAAGAACUAUA